rnacentral:rRNA from 1 species
AUGAACGCUAGCGACAGGCUUAACACAUGCAAGUCGAGGGGCAGCGGGGGUAGCAAUACCCGCCGGCGACCGGCGCACGGGUGAGUAACGCGUAUGCAACUUACCUAUCAGAGGGGGAUAACCCGGCGAAAGUCGGACUAAUACCGCAUGAAGCAGGGGCCCCGCAUGGGGAUAUUUGCUAAAGAUUCAUCGCUGAUAGAUAGGCAUGCGUUCCAUUAGGCAGUUGGCGGGGUAACGGCCCACCAAACCGACGAUGGAUAGGGGUUCUGAGAGGAAGGUCCCCCACAUUGGUACUGAGACACGGACCAAACUCCUACGGGAGGCAGCAGUGAGGAAUAUUGGUCAAUGGGCGUAAGCCUGAACCAGCCAAGUCGCGUGAGGGAUGAAGGUUCUAUGGAUCGUAAACCUCUUUUAUAAGGGAAUAAAGUGUAGGACGUGUCCUAUUUUGUAUGUACCUUAUGAAUAAGGAUCGGCUAACUCCGUGCCAGCAGCCGCGGUAAUACGGAGGAUCCGAGCGUUAUCCGGAUUUAUUGGGUUUAAAGGGUGCGUAGGCGGCCUUUUAAGUCAGCGGUGAAAGUCUGUGGCUCAACCAUAGAAUUGCCGUUGAAACUGGGAGGCUUGAGUAUGUUUGAGGCAGGUGGAAUGCGUGGUGUAGCGGUGAAAUGCUUAGAUAUCACGCAGAACCCCGAUUGCGAAGGCAGCCUGCCAAGCCAUGACUGACGCUGAUGCACGAAAGCGUGGGGAUCAAACAGGAUUAGAUACCCUGGUAGUCCACGCAGUAAACGAUGAUCACUAGCUGUUUGCGAUACACUGUAAGCGGCACAGCGAAAGCGUUAAGUGAUCCACCUGGGGAGUACGCCGGCAACGGUGAAACUCAAAGGAAUUGACGGGGGCCCGCACAAGCGGAGGAACAUGUGGUUUAAUUCGAAGCAACGCGAAGAACCUUACCAGGUCUUGACAUCCCGAUGACCGGCCCGUAACGGGGCCUUCUCUUCGGAGCAUUGGAGACAGGUGGUGCAUGGUUGUCGUCAGCUCGUGCCGUGAGGUGUCGGCUUAAGUGCCAUAACGAGCGCAACCCUUGCCACUAGUUACUAACAGGUAAAGCUGAGGACUCUGGUGGGACUGCCAGCGUAAGCUGCGAGGAAGGCGGGGAUGACGUCAAAUCAGCACGGCCCUUACAUCCGGGGCGACACACGUGUUACAAUGGCGUGGACAAAGGGAAGCCACCUGGCGACAGGGAGCGAAUCCCCAAACCACGUCUCAGUUCGGAUCGGAGUCUGCAACCCGACUCCGUGAAGCUGGAUUCGCUAGUAAUCGCGCAUCAGCCAUGGCGCGGUGAAUACGUUCCCGGGCCUUGUACACACCGCCCGUCAAGCCAUGGGAGCCGGGGGUACCUGAAGUCCGUAACCGCGAGGAUCGGCCUAGGGUAAAACUGGUGACUGGGGCU